UGCCAGCCGCCGCGGUAAUACGGAGGGUGCGAGCGUUAAUCGGAAUUACUGGGCGUAAAGCGCGCGUAGGCGGCUUUGUAAGUCGGAUGUGAAAGCCCCGGGCUUAACCUGGGAAUUGCAUUCGAUACUGCAAGGCUAGAGUAUGGUAGAGGGAAGUGGAAUUCCGGGUGUAGCGGUGAAAUGCGUAGAUAUCCGGAGGAACACCAGUGGCGAAGGCGACUUCCUGGGCCAAUACUGACGCUCAGGCACGAAAGCAUGGGGAGCGAAAGGGAUUAGAUA
rnacentral:rRNA from 1 species